GUGAGUGAUUAUCCCUCUUCAGCACUUCAACAGUGAUGCGGAUUAGAAAAACAAACAGGAGGACACACACUGCACUGCAGCCCGGUACCAAAUGAUCCAGGGCCUGGUGGUGGAGGGCUGCUGCUGAACCUGAACCAGUCUGUUUAUCUCAUUACACCAGCAUGUUACCAUGUCACCUUACUGGGCUAUGAAGCUGGAGAACCUCCUGGACAUUUCACUGACCUGCCGUCCUGCCUCCCUCUCUAUGACUCAGUGAGUGAUACACUGGUCUGUCAGCCUCCUGUAUGACACCCACAGUAACUCCACACCAAUGGGAGCCGAGGAUCAGCCUGCUUAGCAGCAGAUGUUCCACAGAGCUUAGAGCUUUGAGCUGCUUCUGGAUUCUCACGGGAGUGAACAAGGCGAGGCUCACAGGAGAGUGACUCGCCAGCGUCCCGGUGGGCAUCAGGGUGCGUGAGGGAUCGCCAGAAGAGACAGGCUGCUGCAAGACAUCUGAAGGGCUGGAGUGUGUGUGUGUGUGUGUGUCUGUGUGUGUGGUGGGGGGGUCCUUUCAUAUCCUUGUUUGUGUCUGAGAACCUCUGAGCGGUUCACACAUAUUUGACGAACCAACGAAGGAGCAUCUGUGACAGGCUGUAUUUUCUCAUUCAGAUGAAACUCUCCUCAACUGUGUCAGUUGUUUUCAUGCUGAAACUCUCAGUCAUACUGAUUUCUCGCACAAGACGUCCCUCUGAUU